AUUCAGUUGACGUGUCCCAAACAGGGAGAAACGCGCGUCUUGCAU
rnacentral:hammerhead_ribozyme from 1 species